rnacentral:lncRNA from 1 species
CAUGGUCCAGACUAAUCCCAGAAAUUUGGAGUCACUUGUAUAUGAGUAACUAGAAUACUACAAGUAUGGUUUGAACAAAUACAAUUGUUUGAAAUGAGAUAAACAGUAAAGACAAGAAUAGAAGAGGACUUUAGGGAUUUCGAACGCUAAUAGCUCUACCUGAAGUCUCUAUUGUAGAUAUGAUUCGAGCAUAAGCACUACUAGACAUUGCUGGGACCAAUACCAAUAUAUGCACAAAAAGUAGAGAAGUAUAGCAUGAGUAAAACUGACCCAAUACGUAAGUGUCAAGCCUAACCCCGACGAGGUAGUGAUGAAGCUAUGAUAAGACACCUACUAAAAUUCAUGCCCAGACAUACAGGUAAAGUAGCAAAAGUAACAAAUAAGGCAUCUAAAAUAAUAAUUGGAAGGGAACAUGUAGAAAGACGAGUACAAUAACAAACGACAAGAACAAAAUAUCUACGCAGUGUUUUUCGAAAUAAACAACAAUGCACCCAAUUAAAUCACCAAUGCAAAAAUCAAAUAAUGCAGUGAAAUCAACAAUGAAAUGACAUCACCCAUCCUCACCAUAUAAUAAUGAUAUGAUAUAUGAAAUGACAUGACAUCGCCUUUCAUGCUUUUACUAUCUCCCUCACAUGGUAUGAUAAAAAAUAAUAAUAAAUCAAGUGCACAAUAUCAUCAUUCAUGCGUUGAUCCUCUAAAUAUCUCCAAUUAAUGAUAGUAUAUACAAAUGAGGCAUGGCAAUACCCUUCGAGCUUUUCAUUCUUCUUCACCAUACACAACACUAAUCCAAAAUAGCAACACAAUAUGGGAAGCAAAUUUUGAUUUAAUCAUAGAGUUAUGAUGACCAAACUUUACUUUCAAAAUCCCAGUAACUUCAAAAUAAAUAUUAAAUAAGUGAACAAUUAAAGAAAUAAUAAUCUAACGAAAGCAUGUAAACUAUAGUCAAUGAAAAAACAUAAUACAAUAAAAUAAUUUCCACCUGCAUACUUUAACCCAAUGACAACACAUAUAUACUCGUCACCUUACAUAUACGUUGUUCCCAACACAUAAUUCAUGUAGCAAAUAGACCAACAAGUCCUAAUUCCUCAAAUCAAAAUUCACCACGAUACUUACCUUACUCUGCAACCUAAUUAAUGCUCAACCAUGGCUUUUCCUUUAGAAUUAGCCUCCAAAUAAAUCAAAUCUAGCCAAAUAUAGUUCAAAUAAUUCAAAAUAAGCUUUAGAAACUACCCACGAGUGAAAAGAUUUAUCUUUAUUAAAUUUCAAAAAAAUUCAACAAAAGCUAACCCCGGUCUUGCUUGGUCAAAACUCGAGAUUCGAAUCAAAACUCGAUUAUCCAUUCAUCCCCGAGCCUAGUUUUGUG